GAGUUUUCUUUGGUAGCACAUAAAAUAAAGUUAGAAUAAUAUAGACAAAAUUAGCAUGACUCCUGAACAAGGAUGACCUGCAAAUCUGUAGUUUUCCAUAUUUUU
ensembl:snRNA U6 U6 spliceosomal RNA